AUUGAACGCUGGCGGCAUGCCUUACACAUGCAAGUCGAACGGCGGCGGGCCUUCGGGUGCCGGCGAGUGGCGAACGGGUGAGUAAUGCAUCGGAACGUGCCAUUGAGUGGGGGAUAACGUAGCGAAAGUUACGCUAAUACCGCAUAUUCUGUGAGCAGGAAAGCAGGGGACCGCAAGGCCUUGCGCUCUUUGAGCGGCCGAUGUCAGAUUAGCUAGUUGGUGAGGUAAAGGCUUACCAAGGCGACGAUCUGUAGCGGGUCUGAGAGGAUGAUCCGCCACACUGGAACUGAGACACGGUCCAGACUCCUACGGGAGGCAGCAGUGGGGAAUUUUGGACAAUGGGCGCAAGCCUGAUCCAGCCAUGCCGCGUGAGUGAAGAAGGCC
rnacentral:rRNA from 1 species